AAAUGGAGGUCCAUCAGCGCUCGCAUAUCGAAUAACCAUAGCACCUUCGAAGUCACGACUUCUGCCUGAACCAAGAAAAGAGUGAUGGAGUGGGAAUGGGAAAAAAAAAAGAAUAUAUUUUGGAAGACUAGAAGGACAUAUCUAAUGAUUCCCAACCACCGGGAAUAGGAGAGGAGGGCCAUGGUGUCUGGAUCGGACCACCUCGACCACGUUGGCUGUAGUAGAUCUUGCAAGCAGUGGGGAAGGAGCAAAUAAAACCAUGUACACCUCGCUAAUCAUCGAAAUAGUACGAAUCGGAGCUCGAUCCAGCUGUGGGAGUGGGUUGUAUGCCGAUCUGGAGACUGCCGGGGUGGCCGGGACUCGGGUGCAUGGGAGGAUGUGGGAGCCUGGAGCCGGGUGGCAGUGGACCUCUUCCCCUCUCUCUCCUAUGGUAAAAAGUCACCGGCGGCAAGGCGAAAGGGGGGGGGCCAAGAAGGGAAAAUGGGAAGGAAUAGUUUUAACCCCUGUCCGAGGGAUCUUAUAGAAAUAAUUUUAUCCCCUUGGACGAGAAAACAUGCUUUGCUUGGAACUUUUUC
rnacentral:lncRNA from 1 species